AGUGAACGCUGGCGGUAGGCCUAACACAUGCAAGUCGAACGGCAGCACAGUAAGAGCUUGCUCUUACGGGUGGCGAGUGGCGGACGGGUGAGGAAUACAUCGGAAUCUACUUUUUCGUGGGGGAUAACGUAGGGAAACUUACGCUAAUACCGCAUACGACCUACGGGUGAAAGCAGGGGAUCUUCGGACCUUGCGCGAUUGAAUGAGCCGAUGUCGGAUUAGCUAGUUGGCGGGGUAAAGGCCCACCAAGGCGACGAUCCGUAGCUGGUCUGAGAGGAUGAGCAGCCACAUGGGAAUUGAGACACGGUCCAGACUCCUACGGGAGGCAGCAGUGGGGAAUAUUGGACAAUGGGCGCAAGCCUGAUCCAGCCAUCCCGCGUGGGUGAAGAAGGCCUUCGGGUUGUAAAGCCCUUUUGUUGGGAAAGAAAAGCAGCAGGUUAAUACCGCGCUGUUCUGACGGUACCCAAAGAAUAAGCACCGGCUAACUUCGUG
rnacentral:rRNA from 1 species